rnacentral:lncRNA from 1 species
GCUAUUAUUUUUUGUUUUGUAUUUGUUAUUAUUUAAGUUUAUUGUUUAUUUUUCUUUUUGUUUCAUUUCCGAAAUAGACCUUUUGCACAAAGUGGAUAGCAGGAUUCCUGUAGUCCGGCAACGUUGCAAUCCGCCAUCUUAGGAAAACCACACCUAUUUUUUAACAGGGUCUCUUAUGGAAUAAUUUUUUCUAGUUGAAUAAUUCCUAAAUUGGUUAACGAUAGGAAAUAGACACAAGGUGAUAAACUAUAUGAUUCAGGUUUUGUAGAGUUCGUCUGCUGUUGUUUAUAGUGCUAGCAAGAAAAAUUACAUUGGUAAGGAUCUUAUUUUUGCUACUAUUUCAUUUAAACAAUCAGAAUGUGUAAUGUCUGAAGAGCAGUUAGUCGAAAAUGCUACUAUCCAGUUAUUCGACCCAUGUCAAUACUCAACUACCUUGCCAAAAGAGGCAAAAGAUCGUUAUAUUUCUAAGUUGGUAGACAUGACAUUGGUUGUGAUUGUCUCCCCUUGUUUUUGGUCCUUCCCCCCUUCCACUCUAAAAAAUUUCGUAAUAAAAUAAUUCAUUGCGGUUAAGUUUAAGGCGGAUUUAGGUGAAUUUUACGGCAAUCGAUAUGUCUGAAUCAGCUAUCUACCAGGUGAAUUUCAUUGAAAAAUAUAGAAAAGAAAAAAUUCCUAUUCAAUCACAUUUUGUUGCGUUUGGUCGCUUGGUUCAAUUUUUGCGCUAGUUCGAUUAAAUGAAAAAAAAAUUUCGUUGGAAUUUUUUCCUUUUCAAUCAAUCACACCGGAUCCAAUUUUUUAGCCGAGAAGAUCUAUACCUACCAAAUGGAAGCGUGGCCGAGCCCUAUUUGGCCUAGGACAACCCUUUUCCAAUGUCUGAUACCACCUUCUUUUGUUUCAAGCAGACAAUAAGCUGGUUGAUUGAGGACUGAAAAUUUUCAGUAAUAUUUGGUUUUGGUCCUAUUUCACCGUUAAUCUUUCCAGGAAUCGGAACAUCUAACAAUUCAACAGUCCGUUGGAAAGCAACCUUCAAAGCCUACCAUAAACAACUAAAGACGUACCUUUUAAAUCUAAUUGGGUAUUUUUCAAUGUGGCAAUGUAUUUCAAUAAUUGAUUAAUCAAAAUAAUUUGUUUGUGUCACUAGUUGUACUUGUUUUUUGUUGAAUUUGAAAAAGAAACUUGUUAUUGAGUCUUAAAAUUCACUGAGAUUCUCUUUAAAAAGUACUUUUGUUUACAUAAUCUAACCAAUUAAAUUUUAUUUUGAUAUAUCCAUUGCUUUGGUCUAAAAAACAAUGAUUAAAUGUGACAUAGUUCCAUAAGAAAGCACGGGAAAAAAGUCAAUGUCCCGAUAUUUGUUGUCUAGUGUGCCGACUGAUUUGCCUUAUUAAGAAAAUUUUUAAAUAAUUAUGGAAGAUAGUUUGUUCAUCCCUUAAUGCGUUUUUAGUAGACCUAUAAGCAAUAUUACCCUUCCAUUUAACUAUUCGCGCAAGCCACCCUAACGGCAUAAGAUCCCGUGUUAAAUAGCAUCGUUUAAACAGUUUUCUUUUUUUGGUGUCAGAAGUGGGAUUUGAACCCCCGCCCACGCGUGAGUGAGAAAAGACGCCAGUAAUAACUUCGGUAGAGUCGAUUGGUGAUACGCUGAUUGCUUCUAGCCAUCGUAGCUUGGCGAGGAAUUAAUAGUCGCUGGUGGAUUUCCCAUCUCCACGGAACAUAUUUCUGGACGGUAUAGUCCGCGGAAGAGGUAGCGAGUUAAUUCUGCGUCGUUUAUGGGGAUGGUCCUCCGACGGAACAAUUUGACUUGAUAAAGAACAUAAGUGGACCCGGUUCCAUUCGCCAAUCAUCCCACAGAGGUAUAUUUAUUCCCAUUUCCUCGUGCCCGGUGAGAGCCUUUCCGAAUAAAGAACUUGUGGCGGCUCUUCUUUGGUCAGCAUUUUGCCAACCUUCUGCUAAUGCUUUUUGAUUAAUCAACUAUAGCCAAUCUUGAAGUCAUUCGUCGUUGGAUCCUGCGUAUUUAAUGUCUGAGUCCAGCGUUGUUCAAAUCAUCACAGCCGGUGCUGGGGCGCGAAUUAUGGGUACGGCCGCGGUUGGCGCAGCCAGUAAUCGAUUUUACAGGGCCGUUAGCACGUCUUGUUGUUCUAGCAUUUGUUGUUGUUGUAUUUGGAACUGCUGUUGCUGUUGUUGUUGAUUAGCCGCUAGGUUGGCCAAUGCUGUGGUUAAAGCAUCUUGAUCCAUUUUUGUGGUAUCUCAGUGAACGAUGGGUUUCGAUACUGGUUUAUUGUCCCUACGAUUUGGAUGACACUUACAGCGUUCGGUACACUGUCUUUUGUUUUGAGUGCAUACGCACCUUUUACAGGUAGUCAAUUUGUAACUACACCUUGAUUGCAUGGGCAAUCAGUAUUCAGACUACAAAUUUGCGUGUUGGCUUCGACGUGAAACUUAAGAACCUAAGACACUAACGUGUCGAUUUGGUCAAGAAACUUGACUUGAGGACACGAAACGUGUUGAUUAUGCACUGGGACUGGUCUGUUUAAGACACAAAAUGUGUCGAUUAUGAACUGCAACUGUACUUUAAGACACAAAACGUGUCGAUUAUAGACUGAUACGAAACUUUCUUUGUAUUAAACGUAUUACUUUGCAUUAAACGUGUUACCAAUAUUACAACGAUGUUUUCCAAUAAUAUCAACGAAAUGAAUUUCUAUUCUCAUUCUUUCUAUUUGUUCUUCCUCUUCCUGCUUCUUCUUUGACGCCUCUGAGAUGUUCAACUACUCACAAUGUUCUUUCGCUAUUCUUUCUUCUAGGUUUGCUAUACUUUCUUCCUUCUCUUUGCGAAUUGGCAGCAGGUAUUUUACCUUAUGACACCGUAUUUUUUGAUCGACAAUGUAUUCCUAUUUCGAUCCUGUUGGGAGAGGGUCGUCCUUUGAAAAUUGACUGUACGUCUUAAAGAAUUUCUGCUUCCAGAAUCAUAAUUUCCCAGGCGUAUGAAAUGCUGUAGAGGUGAAUCCUAAGUUGUUCAUCUUCGAUUUGGGUGUUGAAAAGAAAGUGGACUUCUUGAAGAAGAUAACGUUGUGACCUGAACUUAUACAGUUCUCUGUAGUCUUCACACACUGGUGUAGCAAGGAAACGUCAGGUAUGUCAGGGGUAUUCCAAUUACUUCAUAUCCGACUGCUGCAUCAUCUUUAUCCGGCUUGUUGAAGAAGGAUAUCUCUAGCUGUCGAUUAUUGUCAUAGAGGCGACUGAAGUUGUUGUUUUCUGGUGAACGAGAAAUCUCGAGGUGAACUGGCCUUCCUGUUGAGUUGUGUGUAAUAAUCCGAAUGGGCUCUCAAUCGGUUGGCCAGGGUUUUUUUACGUAGCGUUACUUGUGCUGCUACACAGUUGAGGGUAUGGUACUCCUCGAUGGCGUACCAUUUCCCUUCACCUGUAGGGGUGGCAGUGAAGCUGAGCCCAUUCGGCCCAACCUGCAUGUUUUUUUUCACCACAUUUCUUAUCGUUUACCAUUUGCCAGCAUUCCAGAGGUAUUAUCAGUUUUUUUUCUUGAAAGUACACGGUGUCGAAGGAUCCAAUCCAAAAACAUCCGGUUUUCUUCUUCGUUUUCGUCCAUCCCUUCCAAGUAGUUGUCUGCUUUUGAUUGGCGAUCAACGUGUAAACAGUUGGUAUCCUUGAAAAGUGUUGCAUUUCAGUUUGUUCAUUGCUGCAGUAGUAGGGUGAUUCGAUUUCCAGGAUUCCUCGGAUCUUAACAUUGUUACAGUUGCAGAGGGUCGCGUAGAUAGGGUAAGUUGGGUUAAUUGAGUGAAGGAGGCAAAGUAGUAGUAAAAGUGUUUGAAACUGUUAGAAAAAUUAAAGAUUUUUAAUAAUGUGGAUCUUGGCGACGCUUUCUUAAGUUGUAUAGGUGUUUCGUGAUCUGGUCGCUUAUGGAUUGGUCUAUGUCAGUAUUUGAGGAGUUUGUUUCUCUUUUGUUGACGUUCUGGGUCUGCGAGGAUUGAUGUUCAUCUUUUUCGGUCUGCCUGGUCGUAAUUGAUAUCCGAGAAAUUUUAAAUGGUCCGUUCCAUCGAUUUAUGAAUUUUCCUGCUGUCGUUGACGCCUUCAGUAAUACGUAGUCACUUAUGUUGUAUUUAGUCAUUUUCGUGGUUAUGUCGUAGUAUUUUUUCUGUCUUGUUUCGGAUUUGAAGAGAUGUUUUCUUGCCAGUUUUUAAGCUUUUUCCAACUGCUGUAAAUACACCUUACUGGUAUCCUCGUAGGUCUCGUAUCUUCUGUUAAUCUUGAUAUCGUUGAGCAUUAUGGAAUGGAAUGGAAAGGAUAUGAAAUGGAAAGGAUGGUGUUUCUUGAGUUGAGGUUUGUUUCUCUGUGUUGUAGGCAAAAGAAACGAACAGAACAUAUUUGUCCCAGUUAGCAGGUAGGUCUGGGACAUAACAAGCUAGCAUGUCACAGAGAGUUCGAUUGAACCUCUCAAACAAUCCAUCGGU